AGAGGUCACAUAUUCAGAGGUCACUGUUAAGAAAAAGAUGGACAAAGGUAAUACUAAGGUAGAGUCAAAUAAUGUGACAUACUCAGAAGUCAGAACAAAAGGAAAGAAAUGCAAAAGUAAAGAUAUUAAUACUGCAGGACCCAGUGAUUUGACUUACGGACAGAUCAAUGUA